CACACGAAAAGGCUGGUUCCGCUCCGGUCGGAUGCCGCGCCGUAGGGGAAAACAACCCCGCCGCGCCGCCGCAUGCCGUCCGUGUGGCCGCUCCGCCGCCCGAAAACCGCCGCGCCGCGCCGUCGUACAAUCCUCCGCCGUUCUACACGCCGCGUCGCGGGAGCCGGAGAACCUCAGCAUGACUUGAGCAGGAGGCUGAUCCAGGAAACUUGAGCUCAUUCUCCAACCUCUUUGCAAACAAGAGCGUGUUCCUCGACUGCUCGACGUGGCAGUGCGCCGGGCUCAUCGUGCAGAUGAUGGCUGUCCUCGCGUUGCCUCCCAAAGACGAGUGCAAUAUGCGAGUGAGCUUGGAGUCUCUGUAGGGGAUAUGGCCGUUUCUCCCCCCGCUGCAUCAGAAGCCAACCAGUUCGUCAGAGCUUGGGCUUGUACUUCAGGAAGUAUGCCUUGAAAUUCAACAAACCUGAGCUGGCGAAUGACCUUUCCCAGUGUAAGAAGACUCUUAUUGAUAUGACUGCCCUCCUUCAGCCUCAUUCCGCUCGCCGCUGUCUGUGAUGCACGUUCACUUCCUGCCAGAUCAACGAAGUUCUGCGCAGAAGGAGGAGCUCAGAGGCCAUGCAUGGAACUGUAGUAUCGUCGAAAGAAUCUAAAACACUGGAAGAAAUUAAGGUGUUCACUUCAUACCACGCAAGCCUGAAGGGUGCUGGAGUUGCCUUUCCCCAGGAACUGCUUGGCCGAGCUCUCAACCGUCUGCAGUUUACACAGCAGGGUAAGAACACAAACAAAUUCUCGCAGAACAUUGAAUGACUACCGAUCGUCGUUCAGUGUGAUAAGGCCAUAAGGGCACCUACCAGCCUGAGUAUUUGGUGUGACCUGGAACUUGUUUCGUUCAAGGCAGUCUCCCCGAUCUGUCUUUGAGCUGUGGCACAACACAAAUGAAUGAUCAAAACAGUAAUGAACCAGUUGAGCAGCCUGCGGAUAUGUUAUUUCCAGUUUGGACGAUUCAGUGGAAGAAAAAAAAAAAAGGAUUCAGCUCCACACCUUCACACACAGCAAGGAGCUCCAGUAGAUGGCCUUUGUCCCUCAGAGUUUCCUCGCUAGAAAACAGUUUUAGUUCACCUCCGGGUCGUCGAGGAGCCGGAGAGGGGUGGUGUCGGAGCUGAGGAGAUCCCUGACGGCCUCGUUGUAUAUCUCCAUGGCCGAGAACUUGAGGAUGAACUCCCUGUCGGGAUGCUGAAUUGAAGACCCGAAGCAGAGCACAGGUUAAGCGCAGACAAAGCAAACCAACAGCAGCAGAGCCAUGCAGACAAUGCACGGCAUGCACCUGGUCUAUAUAUUCGUAAAUUUCGGCCAUGCUGUGCUCCGUGAUGCCGACCAUGGUGUACGUCUUGCCGCUGCUCGUCUGCCCGUAGGCGAAAAUGCUCGCUGCAGAGAAAAGCAUGCAAGCAGGCGGAAAACAUCAAACAUCUUUACAGCAUUGGAUUGGAUGUAUGGAUGGAUGCUUUGGCA